rnacentral:misc_RNA from 1 species
GAUGAAGAACGUAGCGAAAUGCGAUACGUAAUGUGAAUUGCAGAAUUCAGUGAAUCAUCGAAUAUUUGAACGCACAUUGCACUCUCUGGUAUUCCGGAGAGUAUGCUUGUUUGAGUAUCUGUAAACAUCUCAAAUAUCUCUUCAAUUGCUUCAAUUGGGUCGAGAGAAUUGGAUUUGAGCGAUCCCGACUCCUUCGUCAGAAAGAGGAGGGUCGCUUGAAAUGCAGGUGCAGCUGGACAUUCUUCUGAGCAAAAAGCAUAUCUAUUUAGUCCCGUCAAACGGAUUAUUACUUUUGCUUCAGCUAAUAUAAAGGUUGAAUGAAAUACCAACGCUGAUUGCAGGAAAACAUGUUCGUUUAUUCGGACUUGUAAACUCGAUCUCAAAUCAAGUAAGACUACCCGCUGAACUUAAGCAUAUCAAUAAGCGGAGGA